rnacentral:rRNA from 1 species
GCCCAGACUCCUACGGGAGGCAGCAGUGGGGAAUAUUGCACAAUGGGGGAAACCCUGAUGCAGCGACGCCGCGUGAGCGAUGAAGUAUUUCGGUAUGUAAAGCUCUAUCAGCAGGGAAGAAGAUGACGGUACCUGACUAAGGAGCCCCGGCUAACUACGUGCCAGCAGCCGCGGUAAUACGUAGGGGGCAAGCGUUAUCCGGAUUUACUGGGUGUAAAGGGAGCGUAGACGGCGAUGCAAGCCAGAUGUGAAAGCCCGGGGCUCAACCCCGGGACUGCAUUUGGAACUGUGUGGCUGGAGUGUCGGAGAGGCAGGCGGAAUUCCUAGUGUAGCGGUGAAAUCCGUAGAUAUCUGGAGGAACAUCAGUGGCGAAGGCGACUAUCUGGCACAUAACUGACGCUGAGGAGCGAAAGCGUGGGUAGCAAACAGGAUUAGAUACCCUGGUAG